CCUCCUCUUUCCCCACCUCCUCCCCCUCUGCCACCGCCUCCUCCUUCACCACCACCACUCCCUCCGGGGCACCCCGGUCCCUGCAGAGUCCCCGGCCCGCGCCGCCUCUGCUGCGGCCCCCCGCAUCCCGAGCUGGAGGGACAGACGGACAGACGGACACGCAGAUCCCUCGCGCCUAGCUCUCGGCCGCUGCUGCCCCCUGUGGCCCUGCGUCCGGGAAGCUGGGAUCGCCCCCCGGAGCACGGCGAGGGCUCACAUGGAAAAGCACCAAGGAAUGUUCAGAAAACAUGCGAAGACUCUGCCUUUUCUAUUUAUGUAAUUAGCUCAAGAAACUUGCCCUGCGUCCUUUCUUCAACUGCCUUGACAUUCUCCCGGCGCUACGUUGCCUCCUCCAAGGCACCGGGGGCUGGCUGACUUAGAAGCGCGAAUCAGUUUCAGCUGCAAAGAACUUGAGCUCCUGGAUUUUCAGCGUGAACCCCUUGGCACAGCAGGAGCAUCUAGGGAUGGCUGCCCGGCUUUGUGUCCACGCACCCCCGUCCACCAGCCAGCCAUCCGACGCCAGGGUUUGUCUGCCCAGAGAUCCCCUCUUGCAGAGGAAGAAAUUGAGCAUCAGAGAGAGAGGAAGGGGCUCCUAUGGGCGCAGCUUGGCCACGCCCACCUCUGGCCACAGAGAAGCAAAGGCAGAGCAGGUAGGAGACGGGGAGGAAGAAGGGAGGGCGUUUCUGGGCGCCAGGUCGGCACAUCUGAGCAGCUGAAGACAGCGUGGAGGAGGGCAGCAACUGUCUGGAAGUCCAAGGAUCCUGUUUGCUCCUGAGUGCCAGAGGGUGCAUGCCAGGGCCUGGAGCCCUACCCACCAGGAGCAGAGCACAGCCAGAAAGCCCGCAUUAAUAAUUCCUUUGAAAUAAAACCAUGCUCUUCAGGGCAACAGAGACUGAUUCAAUCGGCAAAGAGCAGAGGGCUCUCGUUACAAUCAUAAAGAAAGGCGGGGCUGCUGACGAGUGUCAGUGUUCCAGAAAAGAAGAGGGGAGAUAAGAAAGCAGGGAGUGCAGGCCUCGGACAGCCUCACGCUAUGGCUUGGACCCUGGGAUGCACAUGUCGGAGGGGGCGAGAAGAUGCUAGAUUUUCUACCGAGAUGAUCAGAGAGGUCGUAGGUUCUCCAGAGAAGUUGGCCAGGAGCCUGGAGCAGCACACACACACACACACACACACACACACACACACACACGAUCGUGCACCAUCACACAA